UUCACUGAGUUGUGUACAGAACCAUUUUCCCCAAAUGGCCAGAAGGAUGAGGCCGGCGAUUUCUCUCAGUUUGUUGCUGACUUUCUUAUCCCGUGUCCAGUCGGAUGUUGUGUUCACUCAGCCAGAGGCACAGACCGGGCGUCCCGGAGGCUCCCUGAGACUGACCUGUGAAACCAGUGGGAUCACGCUUAGUAAAACUUACAUGUACUGGGUCCGACAGGUUCCCGAAAACGGGCUGGAGUGUCUUCUUGAGUACUAUAGCUCGUCAAGCUAUACCUACGCCCCAGCAAUUAAGAAUCGAUUUACGGCGUCCAAAGACACUUCAACUAACAUCUUCUCCUUGGACAUGACAAACCUGAAGACUGAAGACACCGCCAUCUAUUACUGUGCAAGAGACACACAGCGAGAGGAACCAGGGCUGGACCCGACUCUCGAUCUCGACUACUGGGGACAAGGGACCAUGGUGACAGUGUCUGCACCGACACCGUCUCCGCCCAGUCUCUACAGCCUGGUCUCCUCCUGUCAGCAGCACAACACCGACGGUUCCGUCACCUACGGCUGUUUGGUGAUGGACUACUCCCCAGGAAUCACCAACCUGUCCUGGAAGAAAAAUGGGCAGCCGAUCACCACUGGACUUGAGACUUACCCGUCAGUGAAAAACCAGAAGGGAACCUACACCCUGAGCAGCCAGUUAACCAUCACUGAGUCAGAGGGAGAAUGCAGCAAAAUCAAGUGUGAGGUUCAACACAGCGACUCAGCCAAGAGCAUUGGAAUGCCAUGUGUUGGACCUGACAUCUUGCCUCCAACUGUUCUCCUCACCGGGAGUUCCCGGGAAGAAAUCACAACCAACAAAUUUGCAACCGCCGUCUGUUCAAUCAUUGAUUUCCGUCCAAAGCCAAUCACCGUGAAGUGGCUGAAGAAUGGACAACCCAUGAAUUCAGGAAUUAUCACCUCUCCCGUCUUUGAAGUGAACGGGAACUUCUCGGUGACCAGUCGGCUGAAAGUCUCCCCUGGGGAAUGGUUCAGUGGCGCGAUCUAUACCUGUCAGGUCACUCACCAAGGGAUCACCCAAAGUCGAAACAUCAACAGACUUGAUCAUUCCCAGUGCAGCGAUCCCACAAUUACUCUACUGUCACCGCCAAUAGAACAGGUCUUACUGGAGGCGACGGUGACCUUAACCUGCAUCGUUUCUAAUGCCCCUUAUGGAACCCUCGUCUCCUGGAUCCAAGAAUCGAAGCCUUUGAAAUCAGAGGUUGCUGUCCAACCGGGAGAGGAUCACAACAGCAUCGUCAGCAAACUAAACAUCUCAACACAAGCCUGGCUGAGUGGGGCUGAGUUCUACUGCGUGUUGAGCCAUCAGGAUCUGCGGAUUCCUUUAAAACGGUCCAUCCACAAGGAACCAGCAAAAAAUCUCCAAGAACCGUCCGUGUCUGUCCUCCUGCCCUCGGCAGAAGAUGUCUCCGCUCAGAGAUUCAUCUCCCUCAGCUGCUUAGUGAGAGGUUUCUACCCCCGAGAGAUCUUCGUCAAGUGGACCGUCAAUGACAAGCCGGUGAAUCCCGGGAGCUACAAGAACACCGAGGUGAUGGUGAACAGUAAUCGCUCCUUAUUCAUGUACAGCCUGUUAUCCAUUGCAGCAGAGGAGUGGGCCAGCGGCACUUCUUACUCCUGUGUGGUGGGACAUGAAGCGAUCCCCUUGAAGAUCAUCAACAGAACGGUUGAUAAAUCCAGCGGUAAACCGAGUUUUGUGAACAUUUCCCUUGCACUGAUGGACACCAUUAAUUCAUGUCAAUGA